UCCAGUUCUAGCUGGUAUCCACGGCGCACAGGGGUCUCACCCCGCUCCGUGGAGCACUGCAAAGGACGGGGCCUCCUCUCCUCCCUUCCCACCUACAGACUCAUCACCGUCCCGCUGCUGUCCCCUGGACAGCUUCUCUCCCUUCCUACCUGUACACCUGUAGCCAAACACAGCCCCCGGCCUUGGGCCCUCAUUGACCAUGCAGCUGGGAGCCCCUGCUCAGUAGCCGUUCCCUCGGAUGGAGCUGAAGGAGGAAAGAGCUCAGAGGUUACUCCGGUUUGGGACACAGAGGCUAAAUUCCUUGCUCAGCCACAGAAUUCCUGCAUGCCCUGGGGCAAGUCACUUAGCCAGUCUGUAAAAUGGGGGCAAUAGCCUCCACCAGGCUGCCGCGAGGCACUCAGAAACCAUCCGGGGGGCUCUGUCAGGGCUGUAAGGGCAAAGGCCUGCCCUGAGAGAACAACAUCUGGCCAUGCAGUGUCCUCCUGAGUCUGCCUCAGGUCUGGCAGGGCACAGCCCCAUAGAGUUGACCCAUGUUCUCAGCUGUGCUCCCCACUUGUGUGGAGCGGCGUGUCUGUCCGCCCUACUGGGAUGUUUAAUCAACUGGCCUAUCCCUUCCAGUGUGUCCCUAACGAUUGUCUUGGGAAUGGGCUGUUAGUCAUUUAGCGCUAAGUCGGGACCUAAGCAGAAGCUACAAAAGUCUUCAGGCAGUGCCCGUACAGGUCGGAUAGUGCCCGGUCUCUACCCGGCUGUGAUUUCCCAUGAGCUCCUCCCAGCUGACAACCGGAGCAACACGGGGUGAAUUCGGCCCACACGUGUUAAGUUACAAAAAGCAGAUGAACUGCACCGCUGGGCUCCGGAGAGAGAGGAGCAGAGUGCAAAUAUAAGUAAAACUCAUCUUCCACCACCAACAGGCUUAUCUGGAGACUGAGACCAUCUAGAUGAGUUUUUGCCUCUUCCUUCGAAUCCUGUUCUCUCUUUAAAGCUUUCUGCAUUUUUACCUCUUCAGUACCACAGAUUUUGGUGGAGAAGCCCAUAAAAGUCUCACUCGCUCUGUAUAAAAUGAGGCAGGAGUAUCAGUCUUUGCAGAACUGGGACACUUUUAGGUGCCUUAAACUGUCCUCCUAGUUUCCAGAGCACUUGGUAGAGCUGCUCGCCAGGAAGGUGAAAGAGGGUCUCCCUCAAAAACCAGGUUGCAAGCAGGGACCCCUUUAUCAGUGCGUCUCGUAGAAUAACUGAAGACAAUUACUCUCUCCCCAUUUGGGGCUGGGAUUUCAAAGACAGAGCAGGGGACAGUGGUUUCCCCUUGUGUCCAGAGAGGUUUGGGACAGUAGACACUGUCUGCCUCUCCCCUGAGCAGCUCCCCUGGGCUGAUGGAAACACAUGGUGGCUUUCUCUUGGGACAACACUGGUGCUUGCAGGGCUGAUGCUCAGAGGGCAAGCAGUGAUUUCCAGGAGAGGUCGUAUUGGCUCCACAGCUCAAAUUAGCAAAUGCUUCUCUGUUGUUAGUGUUAACGAGGGUCUGCCCACAUGGGAUGCCAGUUAACUGAUUUGCAAAGGAUCUCAGAGCCCAGCGCCCAUAUUGCUUUAGUUUGGCUGACUCUGUCCAAUAAGAAGGGGAGAGGCUGAGGAUAGUGGUAAAGCGGCUUCUGGCAAUGCAAACCCUACCACGGGAUUGUUCAGAUUCCUUAUAAUCAUGCUCAUACGAGCCAUCGAAGCCUUUUCUGUUCAUGGGCUCUUGCAGCUGUAGCUGUAGUAACCGGAGUUGUAGAAGAGGGGCACUUCCCAUGCAGAAAAACACUGCCCAACGUGGUCAUACUUUACCGCUAUCGCUGAUGUUGCUGUACCAGUCGGUUUGCCUGGCUCAUUUUCCGCCCCCAUGUUAUUUGAACUAAGCCCUGAAGAAGCAUCUGGAUAUAAUUGGAUGGGGACUCACUCAGAAAGCUCCAGCCUGCUGCCGAUGCUCAGAUCUGGCAGUGCUGGCACAGCUGUCAAAUAAGGGAUGAAGAAAGAUCAACCCCCUGCCCGCAUCUUGAUGCAGCUGGACUUUGGCUGGCUGUUUCUAUCGUCCAGGGAGAUGAGUUAGCCACGGCAGUGGAGAACCGUCCUGCUGCCAGCUCUGCAAUAGAGACAAGCCCUUUCAAGAGCAGUACUUCCUGGCACCGUCGCAGUAACCUUGAAUCUGUAGCACUUGCUCCUGGUCCUUAGCCUUGCGUUUUAAUGUCUCCUGUGCCGCCCCAGGAACCAGAACGGUUCUUCCCUGGGUUUUCAGUAUGCUUUGUGCUCCCCUGGGUUGGUGACCCCUGGGUAAGAGCUCUCGACUUUGCAUUUGAUGGUGUAGUUUGCUCUCGUCUGUUGUAGUUAGAUACAGGCACAAAAACUCAUUGGGGAGCUGGGUUGUUUCACACUUUGACACCGAGUCAUUGUGCAGCCUUGGGGAAGGCACGUCACCUCUUUGCAGCUCUGUCGCACAAGACCGCAUCCAUAUAACCAUGCUGCUUGGCCGUGGCCUUGCAAGCACUUGAAGGUCCCUCAAUAACAUGAGUGAGUGCAAACCAAACCGGUUAUUUUGUAGUUAAAAAUCUCCCCAUUCCCCCUGCAGAAAAUAAGCUUCAAAGCUGUCUUGGGUAGCACAAGCCAAAAGCUUGGCAGUUUCAAGUGUCCCCCAUGAGGGUCUUUUAGCGGUUUCAAGAUUGCUCAGGGGACACUUGACAGUCAGCUGACUUGGCCAUGAGAGAAGCUAGGAGUAGAAGAGCAGGAGUAGAUGUGGGGCACAUUGGUUGAGCUGCGUGUGGGAAACAUAAACCGUAUCUGCCAACAAACCUUGGCCUCAGCUAUUGGUAUACAUUUAUGAGCGCUCAAAUCCCACCCCCACUUUCCUCCCCAAAAGUUGGCUUAAAGGAAAAGGAGGCAGAUCCUGCAGGCAGAUCCCUCUGUACAUAAUGAGCAAACUUGAAUUACUCCCUGCAGUCUUUUCUUCUACACAAGCCUCAUAAUGCCAUAAGUCUUUACGUUUCCUGGCACCGAGCACAACUGAAGCACGAGCUCCAGCAGAAGUUUCAAAUUUGAAGCUGUUCUCUUCGGCUUCGAAGUCUCCGAUUGUAGCUGAGAGAUGCAAUUCAGCUGUUUGCGCAGAAACCUGCCACAGCAGUGCAGUGCCUGCCCCAGCUGCAAAUUCAUAGCUCUGGUGGUUGUGCCCGCUAUGUUUUCCCGUCUUGGGAACGCUGCAUUUUACUUCCCGCUUCUUUGCUCUUUGAAAGCAUUUCCGUCCUUCCAUGGUCUUUGCUUGAUGCCUUCCUCCUUUGCUUUUAUUCUCUUUGGAGGUGUUGAGUAUUCAGAUGAAUCGGAGCACCAGCUAGUGCACUGAAAAGCAAAAUAAGGGCUGCUAGCCUGUUCUGUGGUGGAUUGUGACCUGUGGGCCCCUUCCCUUACCUCCCCUGUCAUUUUUCAUACUAAAAGCUCUGCCAAAACUCAGCAACUCUCCAGUAAGAACAUCCUCCACCUUGCCCGUGAGGCUCUCAGAUCACACAACUAAGCCGGUCGCACAGCACCCUCCCAUGGGAAAAGCCCACAUUCUUUUCCCAUGUUUUCCAGAUGAAGAAACUGAUGCCUGGAGAUGGUAACAGAUGCACCCGUUCAACACAGUCGAUCAGUAGCAGGGCUAGAAACACAAGCCCACUGUUUCCUGACUUGCGGUCCUCCGCUCUCACCAGCAGACACCACUUCCUCCCUUCCAGGAAGGAUGAUACAUCUCUUCUUGGGCAAUAUCAGAGCAAGGUUUGCUGUCAAAAGAUCAAAGAAGGACCUCGAGCAACUGUGCUAAUUUUUGAGGGCCACAUCCUGAUAUGCUUAUUCACAGCAAUAGUGCUUUAUUCCUUGAAUGGUCUUGCUGUAGUCCCCCGGAGCCAGACCUUCAAAGGCAUUUAGGCACCUACAGUCACCAUGGUCCUGUGGUUUCACUGGGAAGCAGGUGCCUAGAUGGCUUUGAGGAAAGGGCCUGAGGCAGUCAUGGAGCGAAAUGCAGCCCCCCGGCGAGUGGAGCUCUGAAUCCAUAAGUGAGCUGCGUGUCCUGCCCAGCACAUCCUGCAACCCUCUGCCAGUUUGACUUUCUUUAUAAAACCAGCACAGAACCACAUGGGGUUUAAAUCACAGGAGAAAGAACGGACUCCAAGAAGGAGGCCCGCUCUUGACACUGUGCGGGACAAGCACACUGCUUGGCUGGCUCUCACCCUCGAAUGCAAGCCUGGCUGACAUCGGUCUGCCCUUGCAGAGCACAAGCUCCUGGCUCUGUUCCCAAGGUGCGCUUGGCAAUGAAUGGAUGCUCUUGGCAGGUAUCACUCCUCAACAGCAGAAGAAAAGCAGGGAAGGAAAGCUACUGCUGCCUGGUUUCCAUGUGGCAGGCUGACCCCAUGCCCCCGUCCCACCUGGUACGAGAAAUUUCUCUCCAAAAGAAGUUGUGUAGCUCAACCCGUGGAUCUUGUUUUCCUGCACUGCAUGCUGUGCUAAUUAGCAGAGCUCUAGGGCUGCAUGGCUGUAGUGUGGUGAUGCUGGUACGGCAGCCCGAUCCUUCAGCCAGGCAUUGUGCUAAGCAGGAAAGAAGAAAUGACAUCACUUCACCGAAGAUUUGGAAAUGACAUCACUUUGCUGAAGAUUUGGAAAUGGCAUCACUUUGCCAAAGAUGUUUUGAUCCUGAGCUUUCAGCUUCUGGUUCAUGGGCAGACCGGGGCAGCGCAUGGAGAUGUGCACACAGGUGCUUCAAUCAACCUACAGCCAAGAAAAAGCAGGAUCAAAGCCUGACAGGCAAGAGGAAGAGGGUGGCUGAGACUUAUUAUUAAGGAAUGAAGAGGAGGACUGACUCACUGAUACCCCACCCAUGGGAGUCAAAGAUCAGUGCGUUAAGGAUCUUCUCUUAAAUGACGUGCAUGCAAUAUGCAGCAUGUGAUAGCUGCAGCACAGAUACUGCUGGAGAUACUGAGUGGUGUGAGACAUCAUCACACCAGGUUUCCAUCUCAUCGGCUCUGGCCGCAAAGGCCUAACAAGACAAGUUCAGCUCCAACGAUAAGUUCACUGGGGAGAAGGACUUGACAAUAAGCAGUGCUUUCAUGAGCCCAACCCUCCUCCGGUGUCAGUCUGUGCCCUUGCUCAAGGACUUUCUUUGCGCUCUUCUAACCUCAUGGGUAACGUCCAACAUCAAGGGUAAAGGACUCGGUGCAAUUAUCUUGAGGCCCAACUUAUUUCACAGAGCAAAUCAAAAACAAUAAAAGCAUUUAGGCCAGACUUUUCCAAAGGACUCAACACCCACAACUCAGGCCAGCUUUUGAAAAAAAAGCCCAAGGCAUUCAAUGCUGCGGACAAUAGUUACACUUAUAAAAAUAUUGUAUAAAUAUAGCUGCUGUUGGAUUUUGCUCUGACUGGGCUGGCAAGAGUCGCCAAGCUGUGCCUGCUUCUCUCCCAGAGGCCUGAGGAAGGGUACUGUGAGACCCAGAAGCUUGCCCGCAUCAACCCCAACCAUGCAGUUGGUCCAGUAAGAGAGAUCACCCACAAGGAUACUUGCAUCUCACAUAUCUCCGGGAUUGUAAUGGCGACAACAUCACUUCAAUGCUACCAGCUUCUCCUAAGGCACUGGAAGACUUCAUUUGCAUUGCUAAAAGAUAGGGUGAUCUUUGCAAGCUUUGGGCCAAUUUAUGGUUAGCUCCAGGUCUGUAAAUGAGGCAGUCCCUAGCCUCCUCCUACCCCAGCACACAAAGCAGGAAGCAACCAUAACCUGACGGACAAGCGCAAGCUGCCUAGUACUAUGUCCAGAGCUCCCGAGGGAAUUUUUAAGUGCCAAGGACAGGACAUGGCCCCAGCUGAUCAGCACUAGCAGGGCUUCACAGGGGGAGGAACAAUGGCUACAUCAUUUUUAAAGGUAGGGCAAAAGCCUCCUGCCCCAGUGAGCAGAAGGCUUCAUCCAUAAAGACGAUGCCUCCAUCUACAACACCCGCUGCAGGCCCUGUUCUCCAUCCAUCGCCUCUCCAGAGUUAUAAUCCAUCUAGUGCACAAAUGACAUGUUCCUCAGUCAGGAAUUUUCUGGGAAGUAUUUUGACUUCCUUUUGCAUACAGUAGACACGCCAGGCCAAGCCUUGCUCCCGUUCCAGCCAGUGGCACAACUCCCAUUGGCCUGAAUGGAAACAAUAUGGAGCUUAUGGAGGAUGACAGUCGAAUGCACAUUAACGGCCCUCACAAUAACUCAAUGAGAGCAGGCGGAAAGCAGAGCUCACUUGCAUGUUAGAUUUGCCUCUUCCAAAUACCUCCUUGCCACAGCAAUCUUUAACAUAUGCAAUCAAAACUGCUCUUCACUUGGACCUUGGCCAUAGGAUGCACAGGACACCUCUUAAAACUCUUGGAGCACAUCGGAUAGGAAACAAUAUGUGCUGGCAGUGCUUAAAAGCCCCAGUAACAAGGAUUGCAAACACAUGCUUAAGAAAUUCAAGAAAUGAUCGACUUGUUCUGAAUGUGAUUCAACCUGGGUUUGCUCCCAAGAACAUUCCUCAUCUUCAGAACAUGCCGCUUGCUCCUAAAGUCGAAAAAACCUAGAGCUUCCUAGUAGCAGUGAUUAAAAGUAUAAAGUCUGGUCUUUUUCCAAGACAAAUUUCCUAUACGUACAGGGCUGUCACCUGAGCGAUGGUCCAGGAUUUGGCAUCAUCCCUGAAAAACGUGAAAUUUGAAGUUAAAAAAAAAUAAUCUUCAUUUUAUGAUUUGCUUUGUCAAAUGAAGAAGUCUGUUUUUCUUCUAACCCAUUCAAGCCACCACUGACACUGAUGCCAGACACCCCAGCCAAGGAUGCAACUGGGUAAUGUGCCAAGAGACAGAGAAAAAAGUCACCAUCCCACACCAGAGAAGACAGUCGUGACACUCAGUAGGCUAGCAGUCCCCCAGAUGAGGGCUUGUGAGCCUAACUGCAGCCGUGGCACUUGGUAAGUGGAGUGUUCAGUCACAAUUUUAGUAGUUAAAUUUGGAGUGGCAGUGAGAUCAGCAUGGGAAAUGGUUGGGGAGAGCUGCAUUAGACAGUCCAUGCAAAAAAGAGAAAAGUAAAAAGAUGCAAAACCAGUAAAAAAAAGUAGAGGUGCCCUUGCUGUGGGUGAGCACCCCAAGUGCAGUAGUUGAUUCGACAGUGAGACAACCCUUUGCAAACUUUCCCUUUAAACCCACACACUCUCUAUUAUCUACACAGACCAUGGAAAGAGAGACUCUGAGCCUCGGGGAUAUUUAGCUAGUAACAUGAGGUUAAAGUGAUCUCUCUGUGGUUUCUUCAGCUCUGCAUUUUGUGCUUACCCCAUGGGAGGGCUGAGAUCAUUGCAACUUCAACUAACUCUAACUCACCCAUCGAAUACGUGCAGGAGGCAGGGUGGAGAUGCACCAUCAAAGACGUGUCUUGUGAGAUACAAGAGAUGGCUUAGAUUAGCUAUACUCAUUGCACACACAGCCCCUGAUUCUAAUCUGCUUUACCACAGUGUAAAGUAGACAUCACUUAAUCCAGUGGAGUUACAUCAGUGUAAAACAUAGACUUUGUGACUCAUAUAGUAGUGUGCAUGUAGCAAAUUAUGUAAUACCUUGCACAAUUCUGCACGUACGUUUCCUAAUUUCCUUUACGUGAGUGCUUUCAUCAAGAAAAUCUCGCUUCCAUUGGUAUUCUGCGAUGAAGAGUUAAGGUCAUCUGAGGCAUAAUAUUUCCACACUUCACAUCUGCACAGCACUCCCAAACAGCCAGCAUGCAGAUGCCUGCAAAAACCGUACAUAAAAAGAAACAUAUUGUAACUGAUGCUCAUGUGUUGACAACUGGAAUUUAUACAGUGUCUUGCAUGGAUUUUCUUAUACAGGUUCCCCUCGCUUUAUGCUGUACGUGCGUUCCUGGAAAACAGCACAUAACUCGAAUUCGCAUAAAGGGAACCCACUUUACACUGUAACAAAUAGGGAUACACUCCAAGACCUCGACUGUACUGACCCCCUUGACUGUCGUGCCACUCCCGGGGCAGCUACAGCUCCAGAAGCAGGGACACCAGCUGCCCUGAGUGGGCCUGAGCUGGGCGGCUUCAUGGCUCAUAGCUCCUGGGGCGCUACGCUGACCACCACCUGGCUCAGCCCCCCCCCAAAUCAUUUUUUCAUCCUCUAUGUAUGGCCUAACUCUCACAACACACCGCACAAAGCAGCUGACUGGGCUUCCACUACACUGAUUGCAUAAGAGUGAAUUUACCUCGCAGAUAACGAAUUUUUGGUAUAAAAAGGGUCAUUGCAUAAGAGCGAAUUUGCACAUACAGAACCUGCAUAAAGUGAGGGAAACCUGUAUAAGUUGUGCCGGUGAGGAUUGCAUUUCAUUUUUUUUUCUCGUGAAUGCUAAAGGCAAUGCCCUGUCCCAGCAAUUAGUCCUCACAUUUCUUGCAAGCAUCAUGGCAGAAGCGGGUGUUCAUGAAGAAUGAAGAAGAAAUCAGUAGCCUUGCAAACUGGCAUGUGAUGACCAGGCAAAGUGCCUGCUCUUUUGCCACCCACAAAAGUUGCAAAGUCCUUUUGAUCCUUUGUAUCAGAGGGAUCCAGAUACCAUAGGGUUGUGUAUUAAAUAUUAAAACCUAUUUCAGUUAAAGCGGUAAGCUAUUUGUUUCAUGAAAGCUGUUCUGUGCCUGAGUCAGGCCUGCUUUGUAGUUAAAAGACAAAACCCAGCAUGUAUUUAAUUAACCUACAUAUUGCUUUGAAUUAGAACUAUGUAAGAUGUUAAUGCUUAUGCGGUUUGGGGUUUUUUUUUCCUCCUUAUCAUUUAUUGAAUGUUCCCCAUUCUGCAUUUUUCUUGUUAAUAAUCCACAUGGCCAACUGAGGCAAGGAAACAGGUCAUUGAUUUCACCGUUCCUUGCUUUUAUUAAUCCCAAAUCACAGAUCAAGUCAGAAGUAAUUGUAGCCCAGAUGAUUUAUGGCUUCCAAUAUUUAGUUGGACUAGCACUGGAUAGGCAGCUAAUGUCGUGUGCCAGCCAGAACAGCUGUAGCCCAAACCUUAGCUCGAGCUCCAAUGAGCAAAGUGAGUCUGGAAGUGUAAAACAGCCCCAGGAGCUUUCAUGGAUGGGUGAGUUAAUUGAAUGCCAAUACAAUAGUGACAGGUGCCGCUUUUUUCAGGUUGCACACAAGUUAUUCGUUUUCCAACUGUAGAAAACAGAGGAUCACUCUGUGAUUUAAAACCCAGGUGACAGAUUUUUAUUCCAUAGCUUAGAAAGCUGUAUGACGAGAAAGAAGAAAGAAUACAAAUGAAAUGAAAACACCUCCGCAGUGAGCUUGAAAGGGAACAAGAAGUGAGGGAAAGCCAUUCUGGCCCCAUCCCAGAAAAGGCAGCAAACCCGUGAUCCAAACGCCCCGGUCUUUCGAAGUUUGGAUCUGGGUUUAUGGGACUUCAGCUUCAGCCCAUUGUCUCCUUGUUUCCUCGUAGUGCCCUUGUUGUCUCUAGCCGCCUGUUGUCUCAUGUCUAACGCUCAAACUGGAAGGUCUUUGGGGCAGGGGCUAUCAUCUUCAUGGGGGCCAUGAUGGGGCUUCUGAAUACCAUUGCAAUACGCAUAAUUAAGAAUGCAAUUAGAAAAAGACCAUUAACCACGGUGGGAAACCUGGGCUGAUUGCUCUCUUUCUGGCUAAGGCCAGAGCAAGAUUAUUCCCUAGCAUAUGCACAUUUUUCCUAAUGCUUUAGUUCAAGCUAGAAUUUAAGUGAGCUUAAGGGUCCCCAACCAGCAUGCAAACACGGUGGGUUCAUCCUGGAGCCAAUCUUGUGAGGUGCUGGGUGCCAACGGCUAUUCCUGGGGACGGUGACUAUGUGAAGAGCUUAGCACCUGACAAGACGGGUUCUCCUGUGAGACUAGAAAACUCGAUGGGUCUUAUCCUCCACAUGCAGCUCAAAGAUCAGAAGAGCAAAUUCCACUGAUGUGCGUUGGCCGUCAGGCCCCUCUUACCACCACCGCCUUGUUGUUACGCCAGAGUCAGAGCGAACAAAUGGAUCUGCUCCUGCUUGUCUAUGCAUCGGGUUAAAGCAGAAGGGACUCCCCCAAAACCGGGGGAGCUGCCGUGCGCUGCACCUGGCGUGACAGCAGUCAGGCCUCACAUCUUUUCAUGACAGUUCCCAUCCAGUUCCCAAACAGCCUUUCUGUUGUUUGUGGCUUUGCCGCUCUCAGCAGAGAUCUGCUGACAACAAAAAUAUCCCAGUUAUUUGGAAUUAUGAUAUCACCCUUGCUUUGGCCUGGCGCCGACAGAGACUCUUAUACAAUGGACAGUUGUUUCUCAUUAAGAACGACCGUAUUCUUUGCACUGACAAACAGUUUACACUAACAUUAGCUUCAGCCUGAUUAGUCCAUUGGAAAGCAAUAAUGUUUGCAUUAACAAAGCUGCUUAGCAGAUGCUCUGCUCAGUUCACUUGGGGUCUGAUUACACAAUGACCUACACGCCAGGAGUUCAUGUCCUGCCAUGUUUUAAUCCUUCAAACCUUCUUAGACCAAACACAGUGGGAAGGGACUGGGAUUGGAAGGAAAAGGAGAACGGCUUGUCCUGUGGGGCCGCUCAGCUCUUCUGCUGAGGACUGAAAAACAUUCAGGAGGGGGACAGGGUAUGGGCAAAGGCUGCAAGAGAGCAGCAGGAGGCUGUGCUCCUCCUAUUGGGAAUGGUGAGAGCUUUGGGGAGUGCCACCAUUUACUUAAAUCUGAAAGGAAAGGAAAGGAAAGGAAAGGAAAGGAAAGGCAUUGUCUUCACGCUGCCCUGUCAGCGAACAGGUGCUAUAGCCACGUCCCCUUGGAGCUCGCUAGUGCAGCUGGCUGGGAUACUUGUUCGACCUGCAUGCUCUCGGAGGAGUCUCCUCGUCUUCUCCGCAGAUGUGCAAGGGGACGGGCGAGGGCUUGCAGAGCUGAGCCAGGACAGCUCCUCAAUACAAGUCCUGAGACUGUAGAGCCUUCAGUCACAGGCCUAGGGCCAAAAAAUGAGCCCAUUGCCAUAUACUCUAUUCGUUAGGCUUAACAGCUUAAAAAGAAGGAAGAUGAACUCCCUGACUCAAGCUCUAAAGCCCGUGUAAUCUGGGAUGCCACAAACAGGCAAUUACAGUGGUCCCUUUUGGCUUUAACCUCUAGGAAUGUAUGGCUGCAGGCCUGGAUACUCAACAUAUUUACAGCAGGGUAUAUUAUAUUGGAUUUGUACAUCGUUUUUUUAAACCAUAGCGGAAUCAGGAGCAGGCAGACAAGCGUAUCCGGGGAUAGUUUCUUGCAGGUAUCGUUACACCGCCUUGAUGCUUGGUGGCAGGGGAGUAGGUCAUGCCAGUUUGCCCAUAGCAAAUGGUGACUCUGGCAUGGCUGUGGAUUCCUGACACAUCAGGCUAGCUUAGACCAGAGGAGAUUUAUUCCCAGGUUAAUUCAAAAAGCAAUAUACCAGUGUAGGGCUGUGCCCCCAGCGUCAUACUGGGAGAAGAGCUGAUUCCCUUGGGAUAAUCAUGUCCUGUGAUUCAGGACAUGCUGAAGCCCAGAAUGACACAUUAGGGCUGUACUUGAGCAGCUGACGGGCUUCAUUAAUGGGCAAUGCUUGGCCAACACUGGAGGUAUCUAAGGUUGUAAGGCUGCACUUUUCCAUCCUACCUCUAUUCACAUCAGUGCCUUGUGGCUGGAUGACUGUAAUGACCCAUUUCUGAGCAUGUAUCAGACCUGGGACACUGGUGGGUUUGUAGGGAAUUUUAAUUAAAUAAGCAGAGGAUGGAGGAGUGAGGCGAGAUAAAUUCCAGCCGCUGGCAGAAGGGUGAAUCAAAGAGGGGCCCCUUUGUAUUUUGACACCACUAGUAAAAGUCUAGUCAGCUACUAACCGGGUUAACCAAUGAGGCCCAGUGCUCUCCUGACCUCAACAAGAGAUUGGAACAAAUGCACCAAAAGGCUUCACACUGUAGCAUUUCUAUGGUGCUAAAAACUGUUCCUGGUUUAAGUACCUACUAGGUGGAGUAGGGUAGGAUCCAUCUCUAAAUAUUUCCAGUUAUGAUCUGGGCAACGCCAUGAUCCGGGCAAUGCCUUGGCUAUUGCAAAGGGAGCUGAUAGUUGUUCUAUUCACAGGUACCUGAGCUGCUUUGCAAAAGUCUGUUCUGCUGGUGGCCUUUUCAAGUAUAAUGAAUGCAUUUGGAAGCAUUAACUGUGAAAUUAUCCAGCCCUGCUGGGGACAGAUUUCUCAUUUAACUGAUUACGAUAUUUUAGAGUAAAAUUGAUAGUCUGGAGUUCCCGGCAGUAAAGUCAGGGCAAGACUCCCAGAGGGAAACAAUGGCUUAAUUUCACUGAUAUCCAGGGCUCAUAUAAUAUACUGCUGCUGCUCACAUUUUAGAGUAAGCUACAAAGAACAUUGUGAAGCCCCUGGGGUCAAAAACUCACCAUAAUUUAAAGCUGUAAUUUCUCUCAGGGAACGUGAUCCUUUUUUGCAAUUUAGAUUUAUUAUAGCUGAGCUGCUGUGAAGGUGCAGCUGGAAAGGAGCCUUCCAAGCUGAAGCAUCCGGCAUGAACGCAGCUGCAACAGAGCAGCAAUGGGGAGAGAUGCCUGAAUCUCAGAAAAUGUCCCCGGUGCCUACUGUGUUUGCAGGCUCCAUUAUUCCCAGUGGAUCAUAUGGCCAUGCAGACCCUUUCACACAGGGACGUGGUCCAUACAGAGCAUGGGUAAGGCACAUGGAAGAGAUGAGAAGCUGCCCCAGCACUAGCUGUGAUGUUUUUAUUAUGCACAAAUGCAACCCCUGCGUACAACAGCAAAAAUGACUUUGCGGAAAGCCUUUUGUGUUUGACCAGCACACAGAGAGGGCGCCAAGCCUACUGGAUAAUUCGGAAGCCUGAGAAGCUGAAUUUGUUCCUCGGCUCUGUGGCACAAUUGCAGAGAGGCCUGACCUCUCCAGGCCUCUGCUUUUCCAGAAGGAAAAUGGCCAAAGUACUUGUCUAGCACAGAGGCAGUGCGAGGCACAUGCAUUAAUAUGUGUGCAAUCCUUUGGAAGGGGCCCGAAGCACAGGGACUUGUAUGGCAAUCACAUAGAGGUAAGGGAACUUCUCCUGUCAUCCAUUUGCCAUGAACGAGUCCAGAAGUGUUUCCUGCAACAUCUUUAAAAAAAUAAUAAUACCAGAACUGUUUUAACACUCCACACAAGGCAGGAUGGAGGCACUAAAAGGCUCGGCAGGUGGAGGUGCUAAAAGAAAGGAAAAGAUUAAGUGAAUAGGUCCUUUCUUCACUUCCUUCCACCUUUUGACAUGGUCUGGUGAUGCUCUUCUGCUCUUUGUCUUGCAUGCGGAGGCCUAUAUACUCUGACACAUCUCUAAACCAUCUGCAUUGCCUUAUGGGCUUGGACAAGUUCGUGAAUGGCAAGCAGGUAGGUAGAGCUUGUUUCUCAGAGGUGGCCUUUUUUGGACAAGCGGAAAGUCAGUUGAUAAUAUCAGAAGCCCCAGAGACCAUGAUACGCGGCUGAGGGUUUGUCAAUCCAAGGUGGUUUAACUCAUGUUAAUUAGGACUGACAUUCGUUCAAGGUAGACAACAUGCUUGAACGUGCCAGGCUGCACACUCCACAAACAUUUGUUCCCGGACACAAAGACUUGCAGUUUAGCCAGUAAAGGAAAUAAUCCUGGAACCAAAUGUCUGCGGAGUAUCCUGCCAUGCAGAUGUAUGGACAAGCGUGGAUUAUUGGCAAUCAGUCCACUCCAGGUGACUAGUCUUGUAUUGACCGGCUCUGACAGGAGUUUUACUAUUAAUUAAAAUUGACAAGAAUUGUCAUUCUCAUG